UCGUCAUCGUAGGGUUAGUCGGGUCCUAAGCCGAGUCCGAAAGGGGUAGGCGAUGGCAAAUAGGUUAAUAUUCCUAUACCAACAUUAGUGUGCGAUGGAGGGACGCAUAGGGUUAGGUGAGCCAACUGAUGGAAUAGUUGGUCGAAAGGUGUAAGUUGGGAGAGAGGCAAAUCCGCUCCUGUAUCACAAGCCUGACAGGCUCUUUGAAGUCUUCGGAUGGAAGAGAGAAUCACUGAUACCGUCGUGCCAAGAAAAGCUUCUAAGUUUAGCUAAUGUUGCCCGUACCGCAAACCGACACAGGUAGAUGAGAUGAGUAUUCUAAGGCGCGUGAAAGAACUCUGGUUAAGGAACUCUGCAAACUAGCACCGUAAGUUCGCGAUAAGGUGUGCCUACGCAAGUAGGUCUCAGCAAAGAGUCCCUCCCGACUGUUUAC
rnacentral:rRNA from 1 species